AUCAGCCCAAGGCCUCUUGUUUGGCUCUCCUGGGAAAGGCUGAGCAGGGGAGCCCAGCAGGUUUGGGCUCACCUGGCUGCCUGGGCAGGGAGAGCCUGCACACAAGUUCUGUGCUCAGUCUUUGUGAGCCUGGCUAUUGAAUUUAUUCAAGGAAAAGGAGCUGCUUCCACUUUGUUUCCAUGACAACAACCCUGAGAAUUUUGUCUUCAUAUAAGCUUGUCUCCUGAGUUACAAGAACCACCAGAUCCCCACAUCAGAGUGCUCCUAGCAAAGGACAUAGAUCAUGAAUAGAAGUAGCACUACAGGAAUUUCACAGCACAGCUGGGACACUUUUCUCAAAAACAAGUGACAAGGCAGAAGAAGGUUUCAUUUUCCAAACAUAAUUGCCUUGCUAUUUUCUGUGGUAUUGCAAGUCUCACAUUACCCCUGAUUUACUCAGGAUUUUACUUCCAGCAACUCUCAAAUAAGAGUGAAGGUUUAGAGGAUUCUCUUUUUAUUGAAGAAAGUGAUUUACGGUCCCACUCUGAAUUUUUUUUAAAGCAUCAAAGAGCAACAGCUCUUCCUGCAGCUGUUACAGAGCAGGCUGAGGUGGGUGCUGUUUGCCCCAGUGAUUUCACUCACUGGGUGACCUGUGGAGCAUGAGCUGCUUGGUCAGGCCACAGAACUGUCCCUGCCACAGUCCUGGGUGCUGUGGAUGCUGGCAGAAGCCAAGGCUGCUGUAUCCUUCAACUCUCUCCUCCCCUCCAGCAGCUGCUGGGGCUCCUGCCACAGCUGCUGGGGCUCUGCAGAGGACCCAGCUGCCCCACACAUGUUGUGAAAGGAACCCAAACCCCACCCUGCAGGCUGAGAGCCCCACCACAGCCAUGGAGCUUCUGCAGGAGCAGACUUGCUGCAGAAGAUCAAGCAGUACAUGAGUCAUUUCCAAACGAUGUCAUUAUUGUAUCCAUCUGCCAAAAUCUAUGUCUGCUCACCAGAGAGUGCUGGCAAGAACAGAUGAAGAACUGGCCAAUUAAUGAACUCUGCACACAUCUGUUGGAAAAAUACUGAAUAUUUUACCACCUGCAUAGCAGAGAAGCAGCUCCAGUGAGGAGCCAACUUCAGCCAUGUGAGCAGCAGCUCCCAAGAGACAAAUCAAUGGAUGGGUGCAAAGCCCCUCUUGGCUUGAAAAUAUUUUUCACAAAUUUAUUUCUUACAAAACUCAGUCUUCUGGUAAGAUCCACAAGCUGCCAUAGGUUUAAGUGUAAUUGUAGAAUAAUAGAUAAAAAAACAAUUUCCCAGACUAAGUAACAGGUGCCCAGGUCUAUACUUGCUUCAAAAAGCUGCUCUGAAGCCAAGAGAGACAAAAAGCAAUACAGAAUUUCCAAAUAUGUUACUUUUCUAUGCCUGCCUGAAAAAACCAGCUCAAUGGACUAUGACAGAACAGAGUUCUCACCUUCCAGAUGAACAAGGCCAUGAAAAGUCUGAAACUUCCCAUGGCACAGUGUGGCAUGCAGGAAGCUAAUGAAACAAGGCAAGAAACCUUUUCUCCUUACACACUUUCUUUCAGAUAAAGAAAAUGCUUUACCCUGCACAGACACACAGUAAAACCUCCAAAACAACUGUGAUCCUAGUUAAAAAAAGUCAGCUGCCAAAUAGUACAGAGGGCAAAUAAAAACUCUUUGGUUAGAGAAUUCCACAGCUUCCAAUAGCUUUAUUUAGAAUUCUAAUCCCUCUAGGCUUCUCUAAUUAAAAUCAGAUGAAUUUCCAAGUGAUGCCAACAUCCCCAACAGCUCAUAUUCCCUGGGAUCUCCAUCAUUUCCCUGAUCUGCCAGUCACCUCUUGGUACCAAUCACAAAAACUCUUCAUCAAGAUUCAUCUCUCCAGGUUCACCUUCAAAAAUUAAGGUCAUUUACUCUCAAAGCUCUUGGCUGCUAUCCUAUAUUAUCCAAAGUUCCUCUUCCACAAAAUUUCUCUGCUCUGGGAUUGAAGAAAAUAGGAACAGGGAGUAAUAGGGGACUACAUGCAAGUUUUUCAUUUUUACACCACAGCCUUUUCAAACCCAGGGCAAGUCCUUUCCUGCAGCACCUGGACAGGCUCAAAUACACAGAAUGCACAAGGAAACAGUCACCCAGAUGUCCACUUCCACACAAACUUCUCUUUUAAGACUCCCAGCAGAUUUAACUGCUUUUCAUUCGGUUUCUUCUCUUAAACACAAGGGAACCCCAGACUGCCUGAUACACUUUUGUUUCUCCUUAAGGAGGCAGUUCCAUUUCAGCAGCAGGAAAAUCUUCACUGCACAUUGUUUGUGAGCUCUUUUCUGAUCCUCCAGCAUGAAAGUCACUACAUGGUAAGCUAUUAAUAAUAACAAUGGGGUGGCUAUUUUAAUUGUGUUUAAGUAUCCGUCACUUACACUGCUCUUAAAAAACCAUGUCUCAAUCAUUUCAGUUAUCAAGGCAAGAUAAAAAUCAAAAUUAUAUUUGGGAAAAUCCAAACCUAGGUACAACAGUCUCACAGACACAAGAUGGUAUUUUCUAGGCUUCAAAGAAAAAGCAAAGGCCAUCCCAGCUCUAGGAAUUCACAUUUAACUGAAUCUCAGGGUGGAGCAGCCACCCUGCAGCCUCUGAAGAGCAGCACAAGAGCACCCAGCCUGCAGUCCCUGUACCACACCGUGUCCUACCAGGUAAAACUGAUGGUGGUGCAGCAGAGGCAGUACCACAGUGAUGCCCUCUAAUAUAACUUUAAAAUAACAUCAAAGUGUUAUUAAUAGGAUUUCAGUGAUUGGGGUCUUGAGCUUGCUCCACAGAAGUUAAUUUCUCCAUAAGAAAACAAGUAGCAUUAAAAAAAAAAGGCAGCAAGACUGCAAAAAGGUAUUUGUGGCUUGCACCCAGCUAAAACCAACAACAUUCACCUUCUGCAGACUACUCAGAUAAACAAUUACCUUGCUCAUCCAUUCCAGUUCAGGUGUCUUUUCUGUGUGUGUUUGGUCUGAAGGCUCCAUGAAGAAUGUUAUUGAUCCUUUUAAUGGGUAAGGACCUCACUAAGUGAUGAACUGUCCACCCACUUUCCCUAAUUAAGAAAAAUCCAAUUACCACACACAAGUGUAGACUGUGAGACUGUAAAUAUCACCCAUCAGUCUCCAGGAGCUGCUACAACUGGCAAUGUGUUCCCAAACCAUCUGCACAGCAAAGGACUCAUUACAAAUGCAAAAUGACUUGACAGCUUCUGAACUGGAUUUCAGGACAGCAACUUGACUGAAAAGCAUCAGCCCUUGGAAACGGUUACAAAGCACCUCCAAAUUACCCACAUUCUCAUCAGGAGAGUGAUGUGCUCAGAGAGGGUUUCCAGAGCCUGAAACAGAGUUCUCUAAGUUCUGUGGAACAGCCAUACAUAUUGAUCUUCUCCCCACAAUCCCCAAGAGAAGAUGAAGUGAGAAAAGCUCCUGCAGAGGUGGAAAUGCAGAACAGCUCUGCAGAACACACAGAACCCAUGGAACUGCCAGAGGGGACCAGGGCAAACAAGGGCUCAUCCUGGAGGUGAUGUGAUGCCACACCUUGGAAACCAGGCCUCCAAAAUGACACUUACAGGGGCAGAAGCCAUGGGAAGGAACAGAUGUGCAACAUAAAAUCAAGAUUUGGGGGAAAAGGCAGGGAUUGCCAGUGCAAUGAGAAAUAUACAAAAAAUCUUGAAAUGAAAAAACAUGCAGUGGAAGAAAAGAUCCUCUUGAAUAAUUAAAGCAAGCCCUCCACUCCUCGCUACAAUGCAAAUCAAACUCAGGGCUCAGAGCAGAACAGGGUUUUAUUUCCUCCCUUACUUCCAUUCCUGAAGUUUUAGAACAUUGCAAUAUGGUGGUAAAAUUAUUCUGCAUUGAUCAAAAGAAUCUGUGGAAGGAGGACUACAGAAAUUUAGAUUGUCCUCCCCAGGAUACAGUGAAUAUGUGUUGCCAUGCCUGUCAUAGAUUACUCUAAGAAAAAUAAGAAAAUCAUUCAAGUCUGCUUUAUUAAAUAGGCAGACUUAAAACUUCUUUUUAAUUUUUUCUUUAAGCAAUUAAAACAGCAUCAAGGAGGAAAAUUACAAUAAAAGGUAAAACAUCCAGUAAGGCAGACAGAGACAGUAAUAGCAAGACUGACAAGCAAAUUUAUAAAUGUGAAAGAUGAUACCAAAGAGACAAUAGGAGUCUUAAGUAGUCAAAAAGAUUCUGAAGACUGGAUAGUAAUAGAAAAAAGGGGUAAGUGGCCAUAUUAAAAAAAAAAAAAAAAAAAAAAAAGGAAGAAAAUGAGAAAAUAACUGUAAAUGCCAGGGCUAAAAGCAAAGGGUAGGAAAAAGGAUACAUCACAAGGGAAUUACAGGUAGAGUUGGGAUAUGGCCUAGAGAACUGCAUUAUAUUUGUACCAAAGUUGGAAACCAGAGUGCCAGGAGGGAGAUCAGGCCUUAGGGAGGGAGAGCUCCACCAGACAGGGGCAGUGUAAGGUUGUUCCUCUAAACAAGGCUACCACAACUGCUGUUACAGUCAAACUGUGUGCAUUCAUACAGAGCAGGGAAGGUCUGGGCAAAGGAAUGCAAAAUAGAAAUAAAAGUCAUUACCUUGUUCUGGCCAGCUGAAGUAAUCAAUGAAAGUUAGAGAAGAAACCUAUAAACUUCCAUACAAAUUUUACAUUAUAACCCUUUUUUGAACAUGAAUAAGUGCCACAAUUUAUACCCCAAACACUGUUUUCCAGUGGUGUGUGAACACACCAUAGGGGUGGGUCAGAUCUUGUGGAAACUCGUGGUACCCAGAGAGAGGAUCCUGUUGACACACACCUGUGACCACUGUGUGACCUCCUAAAAACAUUCACAUCAUGCCAAAUACAAACAUGUUCUGCCUGGUGUUCAUCUCCUAGACCAGGAAUUAGGUGUGCUCUACACACCAUGGGAUUUGUAUAGUAAGACACCCAGCAAGGGAAAACACAAAGUUAAGGAGAGGCAAGAGAAAGAUGCUUCAAACACCAAAUUUCGUGUCUUGAUUUAUUGAUUUAUGUAGUGAACAAAAAGUCAUUCAUCAAUACUCUCUACAUACCCUUUGUCUGCAUAAUUCAGUACUAGCAAAUAUUACCAAUCAAGGUGAUUUAAAUUAAUCUAUAUCUUGCAAUGUUGAUGGCAGAUGCCAUGCUUGUCUUACAAGGGUUGGCUUCAUUUCCUUUGAAAUUUGAACACAAUUCACUUCCUUUGAAUACUACAAGUGCAUUUCAUUGGAGGGAUAAAUUUUAACCAACUGAAAAAAUACCUAUUUAAAAACUACUUGCCCUCUGAUGCCUUAGGUUUGUUUUCAUAUUUUUUGGAUGCUGCACUGCCUUGGUGUGUAGCUCUGAGCUUCAUGCUAGGUGUCAGUAAGUUCUCUUCCCAGGGCAGGUAGACGAAAAAAACCCCUUCCAGCUUGAUACCAAGGACAACCAUUACAGGUUUUGCAGGCCCAAAAGGGGAAAACAACAGAGAACUGAAGAGAGCAACAAGGAGGCUGGAACUGAAUAACCUGAAGCUGCAACUGGACAAUUAACUCCAAUAUGCAAAUGGAGCAGAACUUAUAAAAGUGAGAGACCUUGUGACUGGUCAUGCAUUUUGUGACCAUUUUGGGUUUACCUUGGGUGUAGCCCUGGCUGGGCUCUUGUGCUGCCCAAGGUGGAUCCAUUGAGGCCUCCUAAUUAAUCUCUGCUUUAUUCUUUAGCUCUGUCCAGCCUCUGUCCCAGGUCAGCCUCUCAAGGCAUCGCCUGCACGCAGCACUCAGCCCCCCUACACCUCACCAGGACAGGGGUGGGUGAGGGCCACAGACACAAAAGUCUGGGAGGGUGCAGGCAGUGGAUCAGCCCCUGUGUGCUCCAUCCCCAAACCCCUGCACUCCUCAGGGCACACAGGAUAACAAAUACAAUCAGCUUGACCUGCCUGGGAGUGCCUGCCAGGGAUGAGCUCGGGAGCGUGGCUGGAGGUCAGCGAGACAGGACUGGGAAUUGAUGGCUCCACCAGGCAGCCUGGAGCAGAAUUUAUUUCCUCUGCUGGCAAGCACUAACUGUUCCUUCUGCUGAAGAAAAUAGUCAGUAAUGGAAAUCCUGCCACCACCUUAAUUAUAACAUCUCCAGCUCGGUGCCAGAUUAAUGAGUAGCUGUGGAAUAACAUUUUUAAAGUUUGACUAAUGGUGAUGUAGGUAAUGGCUGAAGCAUGAAGGCAUCUGCACCCAGAAAUGCUCUAGGCUUGGACAAAACUGUCCUAUUACACCUGAAAAUAUGACCAAAAAAACAAAAUUAUGACUUGAGAAUUGGGAAACUGAUUUAAGGCAUUUUAUUUCCUUAUGAUGAUCAGAUAUGGGAAACCACCAACACUUAAAAGAGAAUAUUUGACUUGAAAAAUGCUAAAUACCACAUCUUUCUAAGAAAAUGCAAAUGGACAAUUUAGGGCACCAAUAACCGUGCAUUAAUGUUCUCUAUUUCUGUGCAGACAGUGAAAUAGGGAGGAAGCUUCUGACACAACAUUACAAUUCUAGUUCACUU